UUUCUCCAGCCGCCCCCCGCCCCCCGCGGGGCUGGGCCACGCGCCAGCCGGGCCAGCGGACCAUUGUGCGGUCGCGGGCCUGGCUCGCCCAUCCCGGUGCGCCGGAGCCCCCGGGCUGGGCCAGUGUGCCGAGCCAGAGCCCGCGUGCGCUCGGGCACGCACACACGCACGCACACUCACGUGCUUCCGCUCACGCGGGGCUCGGGGCCAGGGAGUCCUUGAAAAGGUCACAGGUGUGGUGAGCCCCGCGCCGAGGGCUCAGGGGCUUUCUUUGCUGGCACAGAGGCCGACUUCAGAAAGAAGGGGCUUUGGAGUGACAAGCUCCAUAUCUUGUAAUGGAACGAACGAGUGAUAGUUGUUCAAAGCCAUCAGUUCAUACAGAAGAGGUGGAGCCUGAGGAACUCGGCCCCCGACCCGUGGCCCCUCAGGGGAAGGCUCACACUGGGCCAGACAGAAGCACCUGGUCCCCUGUACUUCAUCUCAGCAGGUAAGAAGUUGUUAAACCAGUAGGGGUUAAGUUCCCUUGUUCCUGAGACUCCAUGGAACUCAGACCAGGGAAGCAUUUUCUAGAUGCUUCUGCAGAUGGGCAGCAUGCCCACAUCUAAGCUGCCUUGAUGAGGAUAGUGUCCUUUCUCCCUUUCCCACCGACAGAAUGCCCACCCCUUAGGGAGCUCCAGCACUUGGACCUGAGCCUCAGUGAGCUGGCAGAGAGAGGAAGGACAAACAGAACACACAUCCAAUGAACUAGAACUGCUGAAAGAGGCAGAUGGUAACACAAAUUUAAAAAAUAACAAGCCCUACAGAUAUUUAAAUACAGUAAAAAGGGACUGUGGAGCCAAAAAUGAUUUCCCAUCUAACAGUUCAAUUGAUGAGUUGAAGGAGAAAAUGAUCACCACUGAGAUUCAGAUAAGCAGCUUGGAAAAUCAAGGUCAGCAAAUAGCUUCAAGUACAGAACAAAAUUAUAGAGAUGGAAAUCAGGGAAAAAAUGGGUCUUGGAGGGCAGAUCUAAUGACCUAACAUAUGAAUGAAUAACAGGACUUCCAGAAGGAGAAAAGGGAAUAGAUGAAAGAAAUAAUAAAUGUCAUAGAAAAAUAUUGCCCCGAGCA
rnacentral:lncRNA from 1 species